CUGGAGACAGUCAGAAACCUGAUGAUGCGCUAUUAAGGAAGAAUAAUUUAAAAUUAACUUUGGACAAAACGUUUGGCUCUCUCUUCCUUAAUCUUCCUGGUCCUCAGCGGGCGGCGUGCAGCGAG